GACGUUGUGUUUUUCACUCCCUGCUUAAGGAUGUAAAUGAAGACCCUGGAGAAGAUGUGGCCCUCCUUUCUGUCAGUUUUGAGGACACGGAAGCCACUCAGGUGUAUCCCAAGCUGUACUUGUCACCCCGAAUUGAACAAGGCGUCGUGGAGUAUGAUGCAGAAGGCUUUACAAAACUCACUCUGCUGCUGAUGUGGAAAGAUUUCUGUUUUCUUGUGCACAGUGAGUAUACUUGUGCUGUGAGCC
rnacentral:lncRNA from 1 species